rnacentral:rRNA from 1 species
GACAGAGGGUGCAAACGUUGUUCGGAAUUACUGGGCGUAAAGCGCGUGUAGGCGGCAACGCACGUCGGAUGUGAAAUCCCAUGGCUCAACCAUGGAAGUGCACCCGAAACUGCGUCGCUAGAGUCCUGGAGAGGAAGGUGGAAUGCUUGGUGUAGAGGUGAAAUUCGUAGAUAUCAAGCGGAACACCGGUGGCGAAGGCGGCCUUCUGGACAGUGACUGACGCUGAGACGCGAAAGCGUGGGGAGCAAACAGG